GGAAUUCAGUAGUGAUUCAGGCCUAACACAUGCAAGUCGAACGGCAGCGCGGAGCUUGCUCUGGUGGCGAGUGGCGAACGGGUGAGUAAUAUAUCGGAACGUACCCUAGAGUGGGGGAUAACGUAGCGAAAGUUACGCUAAUACCGCAUACGAUCUAAGGAUGAAAGUGGGGGAUCGCAAGACCUCAUGCUCGUGGAGCGGCCGAUAUCUGAUUAGCUAGUUGGUAGGGUAAAAGCCUACCAAGGCAUCGAUCAGUAGCUGGUCUGAGAGGACGACCAGCCACACUGGAGCUGAGACACGGUCCAGACUCCUACGGGAGGCAGCAGUGGGGAAUUUUGGACAAUGGGCGAAAGCCUGAUCCAGAAAGGCCGCGUGAGUGAAGAAGGCCUUCGGGUUGU
rnacentral:rRNA from 1 species